rnacentral:rRNA from 1 species
AACGAACGCUGGCGGCAGGCCUCAAACAUGCAAGUCUAGGGGGUGUAGCAAUACAUCACCGGCGGACGGGUGCGUAACACGUGGGAAUAUACCUUUUGGUUCGGAACAACGCAGGGAAACUUGCGCUAAUACCGAAUGUGCCCUUACGGGGAAAGAUUUAUCGCCAAAGGAUUAGCCCGCGUAGGAUUAGCUAGUUGGUGAGGUAAUGGCUCACCAAGGCUCCGAUCCUUAGCUGUUCUGAGAGGAAGAUCAGCCACACUGGGACUGAGACACGGCCCAGACUCCUACGGGAGGCAGCAGUUGGGAAUCUUGGACAAUGGGGGAAACCCUGAUCCAGCCAUGCCGCGUGAGUGGUGAAGGCCUUCGGGUUGUAAAACGUCUUUCGACGGGGAC